UGCGGGAUAGAGCAGUCUGGUAGCUCGCGAGGCUCAUAACCUUGAGGUCGCAGGUUCAAAUCCUGCUCCCGCU
rnacentral:tRNA from 1 species